rnacentral:rRNA from 1 species
ACCCGCUGAACUUAAGCAUAUCAAUAAGCGGAGGAAAAGAAACCAACAGGGAUUGCCCUAGUAACGGCGAGUGAAGCGGCAACAGCUCAAAUUUGAAAUCUGGCUCUUUUAGAGUCCGAGUUGUAAUUUGCAGAGGGCGCUUUGGCUUUGGCAGCGGUCCAAGUUCCUUGGAACAGGACGUCACAGAGGGUGAGAAUCCCGUACGUGGUCGCUGGCUAUUGCCGUGUAAAGCCCCUUCGACGAGUCGAGUUGUUUGGGAAUGCAGCUCUAAAUGGGAGGUACAUUUCUUCUAAAGCUAAAUAUUGGCCAGAGACCGAUAGCGCACAAGUAGAGUGAUCGAAAGAUGAAAAGCACUUUGGAAAGAGAGUCAAACAGCACGUGAAAUUGUUGAAAGGGAAGCGCUUGCAGCCAGACUUGCUUACAGUUGCUCAUCCGGGCUUUUGCCCGGUGCACUCUUCUGUAGGCAGGCCAGCAUCAGCUUGGGCGGUAGGAUAAAGGUCUCUGUCACGUACCUCUCUUCGGGGAGGCCUUAUAGGGGAGACGACAUACUACCAGCCUGGACUGAGGUCCGCGCAUCUGCUAGGAUGCUGGCGUAAUGGCUGU